rnacentral:siRNA from 1 species
CGGGUGGUGUAUCACGCGGUCUU